rnacentral:rRNA from 1 species
UACGAAGGUGGCAAGCGUUGUUCGGAUUUACUGGGCGUAAAGGGAGCGUAGGUGGUUAGGUAAGCCCUCCGGGAAAUCUUCAGGCUUAACCUGAAAAGGUCGGGGGGGACUGCCUGGCUAGAGGACGGGAGAGGAGCGCGGAAUUCCCGGUGUAGCGGUGAAAUGCGUAGAGAUGGGGGAGAACACUCGUGGCGAAGGCGGCCAGCUAGACCAGUUCUGACACUGAGGCGCGACAGCGUGGGGAGCAAACAGG